rnacentral:lncRNA from 1 species
CUUGAGGCCUCGCCCCGGCCGGGCCCCGCCGCUUCCUCGCGGGCUCCCAGGGCCCGGUCCCAGCCCGGGCUGGGCGAGGAGAGACCGAAGCCUGGAGGUCGAGACCCGGAGGCCGAGGCCCGGCCGGGAUUUGCGGCGAGGCGGCCCCGGGGAGGCCGGAGCAGGACCCGCCGCAGAGGGAGCGUGGCCGUCAUGCUGUGAGGAGCCUCCGUGAGCAUCCCUCGGGCUGCCAGCACCGCUGCCUCUCCGGUACCGCCAGCGCUGCCGACUCAUUUAACCCCGCUCAGCCGGCUCCGGUUCAUCUGGCCCCUUCUUCAGGAUGCAGCCUGUCUCUGUUCUGAGAUGAGUCCCUGAGCAGCAAAGAGCUCCUGUUUGUGCAGCACAUGAAGUACAACCAGGAACAUCAAAAAGCACAGAGCUCUAAAUGCUGUAAUAUGCUUUUUCCAUUCGUGCUGCUUCAGUCCAGCAU